rnacentral:rRNA from 1 species
GUAGGUGGCAAGCGUUGUCCGGAAUUAUUGGGCGUAAAGCGCGCGCAGGCGGUUCGUUUAAGUCUGAUGUGAAAGCCCACGGGCUCAACCGUGGAGGGUCAUUGGAAACCGGAGAACUUGAGUACAGAAGAGGAAAGCGGAAUUCCACGUGUAGCGGUGAAAUGCGUAGAGAUGUGGAGGAACACCAGUGGCGAAGGCGGCUUUCUGGUCUGUAACUGACGCUGAGGCGCGAAAGCGUGGGGAGCAAACAGGAUUAGAUACCCUGGUAGUCCACGCCGUAAACGAUGAGUGCUAAGUGUUAGGGGGUUUCCGCCCCUUAGUGCUGCAGCUAACGCAUUAAGCACUCCGCCUGGGGAGUACGGCCGCAAAGGCUG